rnacentral:rRNA from 1 species
UACGUAGGGUGCAAGCGUUGUCCGGAAUUAUUGGCCGUAAAGAGCUUGUAGGCGGUUUGCCGCGUCUGCUGUGAAAAUUCGAGGCUCAACCUCGAACUUGCGGUGGGUACGGGCAGACUAGAGUGUGGUAGGGGAGACUGGAAUUCCUGGUGUAGCGGUGAAAUGCGCAGAUAUCAGGAGGAACACCGAUGGCGAAGGCAGGUCUCUGGGCCACUACUGACGCUGAGAAGCGAAAGCAUGGGGAGCGAACAGG